GACGAACGCUGGCGGCGUGCCUAAUACAUGCAAGUUGAGCGCUGAAGGUUGGUACUUGUACCAACUGGAUGAGCAGCGAACGGGUGAGUAACGCGUGGUGAAUCUGCCUUUGAGCGGGGAACAACAUUUGGUAACGAAUGCUAAUACCGCAUAAAAACUUUAAACACAAGUUUUAAGUUUGAAAGAUGCAAUUGCAUCACUCAAAGAUGAUCCCGCGUUGUAUUAGCUAGUUGGUGGGGUAAAGGCUCACCAAGGCGAUGAUACAUAGCCGACCUGAGAGGGUGAUGGGCCACAUUGGGACUGAGACACGGCCCAAACUCCUAGGGGAGGCAGAAGUAGGGAAGCUUCGGCAAUGGACGAAAGUCUGACCGAGCGACGCCGCGUGAGUGAAGAAGGUUUUCGGAUCGUAAAACUCUGUUGGUAGAGAAGAACGUUGGUGAGAGUGGAAAGCUCAUCAAGUGACGGUAACUACCCAGAAAGGGACGGCUAACUACGUG
rnacentral:rRNA from 1 species